CCCACUCUGUUUGAAAAGCAGGUGGGGGCUAAUAAAAAAGGUUUCUCAAAAUUUUAACAUGGACUGUUAUUACACAUUUCAAGCCCCCGCUCACAAGGUUUUUUAUGAUGACCAUAAAAAGGGGCUGAAAGCUCAAACUAGGCAAACAGGGAUUCUGGUGUUUUUCCAGAGUAUGAAGAGCUGGUGGGUUUUGAAAAAGAAAAUCCAUAGCCAGAUACACUGCUCAACCUCUAUGGAGAUCAGAGCAUAAAUAAAUGCGGUACAAAAUGUUGUUUCUUUGUCUGCACGGGUAAUUUGUUUUUCUGUAACUGUCUGGAAUGAAGGACAAUUUCUGCAGGAGACAAGACCUUUGGUUACUUGCCUCUGUUUUAAUUCAGGUAGGAGGACAGAACCAUGGUGUGCUGGUAGCUCAGAGACCUGCAAAAAAUCUUUGUUCUCCAUGGCUGCACCUUGCUUAAGAUCUUGAAGGCUAUUAAGAGUACUUGAAAAAUAAUUUAUGAGUCAUACAGAGAUGACCAUGAGCAGAGUGAAGUUCAAACAAUUGUCACCCAGCUCAGAAGCUAAAACUGGCUCAACCUAGGAUUGUUGGUUUGGGGCUUUUUUUGUUUGUUUUUUUGUUUGGUUAGUUGGUUGGUUUGGUUGGGUUUGGUUUUUUAAAUAAACUUGUAUAGGAAUAUCAUAUCACGUCACAACUGAAAAAAAAGGAAAACUAAAUCUUCAAAUUUAACAACUUUAAAACCAAUAUCCAAGUUAUAUUUAAUACAGUGGAACUCAAAACAAAUGAAGAAUGCCUUCAGCCCUGAACAAAGACCAGCUGAAAAUGAAAAUCACCUGAUGAAAGAAUAAAGUUAUUCUUUCUUAAUGCAGCAGAAAUUGUUGAUUCAACUGUUGGAACAGCAUAAAGCGAAAUAGAAAGUAUUUGUAGACAAGAGAACAGAACCUAAUGGAUAUUUUCAGUAAGCCUAGAAACUCUGUUACCACUACAGUGUAAAAAUAAUUGUUC
rnacentral:lncRNA from 1 species